rnacentral:rRNA from 2 species
GGCCCAUAAGACUGGGAUAACUCCGGGAAACCGGGGCUAAUACCGGAUAACAUUUUGAACCGCAUGGUUCGAAAUUGAAAGGCGGCUUCGGCUGUCACUUAUGGAUGGACCCGCGUCGCAUUAGCUAGUUGGUGAGGUAACGGCUCACCAAGGCAACGAUGCGUAGCCGACCUGAGAGGGUGAUCGGCCACACUGGGACUGAGACACGGCCCAGACUCCUACGGGAGGCAGCAGUAGGGAAUCUUCCGCAAUGGACAAAAGUUUGACGGAACAACGUCUCGUGAUUGAUGAAGGCUUUCGGGGCG